rnacentral:rRNA from 1 species
CGAGGGUGCGAGCGUUAAUCGGAUUGACUGGGCAUAAAGGGCACGUAGGCGGUUAUUUAAGUGAGCUGUGAAAUUCAUGGGCUUAACCUGUGAUCUGCAGCUUAGACUGGAUGACUAGAGUCUAGGAGAGGGAGACGGAAUUUCCGGUGUAGCGGUGAAAUGCGUAGAUAUCGGAAGGAACACCAGUUGUGAAGACGGUUUUCUGGCCUAAGACAGACGCUGAGGUGCGAAAGCGUGGGUAGCGAACAGGAUUAGAUACCCGAGUAGUCC